GUUAAGGAAGAAUUGGUGGAGAAAAUCAAUGAGGGAUAAGGGAAGGAUUUUUAGGAGAAAAUCAAAGAAUUUGAUUAGAAGUGGGAAGUUGUGUCGUUUGGGGAGUUUUGAGAGUGGGAAAUUCGGCUAAGGGGAGUUUUGGGGUUAUUUUUUACUUUUGAGGGACUGUUGGUUUUUAAUUUAUUUUAUUUUUCUCUUUGUCUGCUUCGGUUUGGGUGAGCAUUUUUGUUUUCUCCUUUUUCUUUUGGUGUUGAACCUUGCAAAGACUUCAAAGUAUCUCCCGGGUUUGUUCGUUUUAUUCUUCUACCUUUCCCUUUAUGCCCCUUUUUAUUUUGGCCGAAUAGCCUUUGGUUCUUUU
rnacentral:lncRNA from 1 species